CAAGUGUCAAAGUUUGAAUGAAAUGCGCGAUUCGCCCGCCGCCGAUCAGUGUGUAGUACCCAUUUAGGUUAGAUUUUCAAAACAGUGAGUGCUAAAGAUUUGAUUGUUUUGAUGUAUCUAAUACAAUACUAUUAUGGAGACUAAGAAGGCUGCUGUUUUCUUAUCGCUGUUCUGUCUUCUUGGGUGUGCAUGUGACGGAGCCAAAAUAAAUACGCCGAGGGUGUUGUUACCUUGGUUUGAAGAUUUGUAUGUGAGCUUUACCUUCGAAAUCAUCGAGGGAGGUUGUUACACAUGGAGUUUGUCUCGCGAUGACAUCAUAGAUUUGGAGCCGCUGUACGAUGAUGCCAUAGGGCACUGCUCCCGAGCUGCUCGCGUCUCCGUCUCCAAAUCAUGUGUUCCACCUGGCUCCGUCAUCAUACUCGCCGAAGAGGUCAACUCAGGCGAGAUUCUUCGUGGUGAUGUGGACAUAGACAAGAUCAGGUCACUCAAAGUGAUGAGUACAACAUGGAACCUGUUCUUGGAAGAAGCUCCUGAGGCCUUUGAAGUUGUAGCCUAUGAUGAUCAAGGAAACACGUUCUCCACACUCGAAGGAAUAACAUUCACUUGGAGCAUAGAGAAUCUCGGUAGUAAUGUUGGUGAAGAGCCAUUGGUUACGCUAGUAAGAUGGCGUGACACAGACUACGAAGCUCCUCGCGGCGUUACAGAACUCGAGGCCCGAGGCCUUCGGUCCCACUCCGUCCUGUUAUACGGUCAGGCCAUGGGCGAGUCCCGAGUGACAGUGUGCCUUGAAGACAUCUGCACGGACUUUGACCUGCAAGUCAUAGCUAGUGUUGUGUUGAUGCCUGCUGUGGCUAGUAUUGUGCCUGGUGAUACGCUGCGGUAUAGGGUUGUCCGCGCCCGCGCAGGCCGCCUCACCGUCCAAGACAUAUCCGAAACAAUGUACUUUUUAAAAGUACCAGAUGCCAACAUAGCUUCUCUAGAAGAUUCCAUCAGCCUCGUCAAAGGGACAAACUUGGGCUCUACAAGCGUUUACCUCAUGUCUGGGGCUACCGAAGUAGCCACUGCAACAUUAACCGUAGCAGAACCGCAUAGCAUAAGAGUGUCACUACGUCCCUCAAGCUUAUUAAUCCGUGGAGAACCAUUCGUCGUUCACUGUGUAGUACUGGAUAAUAAAGGGCAUCCGUUAACAGCCGGUGACCAGAUUCUGAUUAGGCUGUCAGUGGAAGGGGAAGCCAAUGUGGACUUGCUCCAGUCGACCGAGAACGGGACCCUGACUGAUGCUGUCGCUCAGAAUGCUGGGCCUUUGACUAUUACUGCCAGGUUGUAUUCUGUUGCUGGGAGGAGUGUGUCGAGAAAGGUAGAAGGCGAGGUGUCAGCAAUCGCAGUGGAACCUUUAGAAAUAGUACCACCACAUCUCUAUGUUGCAUGGACUGACAACAUUCAAGAAAUAAAUCUAAAACACAUCGGCGGUGGUGACGAGCCGGUGACAUGGUCGGAGAUAGAGAGCGAUGCAGUGGCCGGCCCGCUUUCCCUAACGUCUGACGGCGCGGUCACUAUACGAGGGACCGGGGAGAUCGGUGUACGAGUGCACUUGAAGAAGUACCCGCAUGUUAAGGCCAUUGGCAGAGUAUGGUCAGCCCCAUUCGAGAUGCUACAAGUAUCAACCUCAAGCUACGCGCGAGUCGGCAAGCCGCAUCACCUACACAUCGCGCUCACCGCCACCAACGCAGAAACCGGAGAAUUAUAUAACUUCCAUACGUGCAACUGUGGGUCCUUUGCUGUGACCCUUCUGGAGGGGCCGGAACCACAAAACGUCACAGUAGCAAAAUGGGUGAAGCCUGUCGAGGGGGCUUGCUGCGUACUAGAGUGUGCAUGGAACAGUCGCGGCGUGUCGACAGUGCGAGUGUCUCGCGGACGUGUCGGCGACACGACUCGCGUGGCAGUGCGAGCCGCCCCUAGCCUGCUGUGGCCGCUUCACGCCGCGGCAUUACCUGGCGCUACACUACCGAUUCUAGCGGAAGGCGAAGCAUUGUCCCCGCAGUCGCUUGACACGAGAGUAGCCGAGAUAUCGCCGCGAGAAGGUCGACGACCUCACCGCUACCCGGCCGUACAAAUGUUCACGCUCAAGUGUCGUAGAAAGGGCGAGUCCCGCAUCGAGCUGACGUCAGAAGUAGGCGAGGAGCGCGAGUCAGUGUCACUGGACGCGCGCUGCGCUCCGCACGUGUCGCGCGUGCGACUGGAGCCGCCCGAUACGCCCGGCAACUGCUCGACGCCGCCCAAAAUCUGGCUGCGUCCUGGUCAAGAGCUAGCAGUGAAAGUGACGCUCCUAGACUCCAUAGGCAGAGAGCUUCUCGACGAGAAUGGUCCCAAGAUGUCCUGGGAAGUGGAGCCUCAUCAUCCAGGGUUGCAGUAUAAAGCUGAUGAUAGACUGUUCGUGGAAACUCAUCCUGAAUACGCGCCUGUGCCUGUACCUUUUAAGUAUUUCCAAGUAGUGGUAGCCGAUGACAAUGCUAUCGGAUGGCAUGGUGCGCUAAAAGCGAGCAUCCCCGAUGCUUCAGCGUCUAUUCAGGCGAGGGUCGUUGCUCCUUUGAAAUGCGAUCCACUUAAGGUGAACAUAGCAUGGGAGAGUGAAACAGUGAACAAUAUAGCUACAAUCACAGGCGGCAGUGGUCGCUACGCGGUUGAAACGCCUAAGGGUGUGUCAGCAGAAGUUGAGGGCGGUUCCCUUUCUGCUAACGUUCCCGGACCGGGGUCCUACGAUCUGGUGGUCACUGACCUCUGUGUUCAGGGGGAGAAGCAGUUGAUUGAGGUCCACAUCGAAGAAGUUCUAAGCGUGGAAGUGUCAACAUCUCGCGCUGUAGGCGUGGGGGCUUGUGUGCCCAUCACCGCGCUAGUGAAGGGCGUCUCCCACCGGUACCUCGGCACCGGCCGAUCGGCCGAGUGGCGGGCGGCCGGGCCGGUGGCCGUGCGGGACAACACCAUGUGCGGCCUCACUGAGGGCACCGCGAGGGUGCGAGCGCUGUAUGGCGGAGUGUGGAGCCCUGAGCUGGAGGUGCUGGUGUUCCCGCCGCUGUCGGUCCUCCCGCGCGUGGGCCGCGUGCCGCCGGGCGCGCGGCUGCAGCUGCGGCACGCGGGCGGGCCGCCGCCGCACCUCGCCGCGCUGCACUACCGCGCCGUCUCCGGCCUCAGCCAUGUCGAGGUGACAUCAUCUGGCUCGGUACAUGGAUUGUCGCUCGGCACAUCACGUAUCAAGCUUGUGGCCACCGAUAUUUCCAACGUUGAGAUGGCCAGCGCUGAGUGUGAAGUCGAGGUGAUACCGAUAUCAGGCGUCCGAGUAAAGGCGGCGACACAGAGCCUAUUAGUAGGGUCUCCGGGCCCCAUAUGGGUGGAGGCUGGAGGCCUGUCGGCUGGGGCCCUGGCCGCAUUGCAGCCCGCUCCCCGGGUGUCUUGGUCAUUGAGGGACCCGACUGCUGCAAGGCUGUAUACUACACAUGCUGAUGAUAUGUUGGAGAGAUCAGUUGCCGAAGGUCUUUCAGUUCGGGUCGUACCCCUCAAGCCAGGAGUCAUCACAAUCGACGUUAGAGUACGAAACAUGGGGCAGGUAGCCGAAACCCGUUCCUGGGACAGUACAAUCGAAAUCCUCGGUCUAUCCGACAUCCGGACAUCAGUCGAAGGGUUAUCCAAGGAGCUGUCUUCUGGAGACAGGCUGGCCUUAGCCGUCAGUUCAGUCAUCAGGCUCAAGUCUUUACCCAGGGGAAACUGGAAGGCCUAUGGGGACGGUGCCUUGACGGUCAACCAAGCUGGGGAAGUGACUGCGGUGAGGCCAGGCUUCGGAGUCAUAUUGGCACAGCAUAGAGAUGACAGGAAUAAUAUUUAUAGGGAGACGGCUAUCCACGUAGAAGUGGCAGUACCUACAUACUGCACAGCGGAACCUUCAGGCGAGCCCCACGAGACAGGCGUCCGGCUGGUGAUGAGGAACUCAGUGGGGCGGGCGCUGCUGGCUCCGCACGCUAACGUGUCCGCGCUCGCGCCCGUAGCCGCGUACUCGCGACCUGCACAGCUUACUGACAGUGUGUUAGGAACCGAGCUGUUAAUACCUAACUUGGACUCUGCGGGCGCUUUCAUGACCUUCCAAGGCUCCGUUAGUGGCGUCACGUUAAAAGACGAAGUUUGGGUCACUGGGACCGAUCUGCGAGCUGACAGGGUUGUUGUAACAGCAGGCUGGGCAGUAUGCCUCCCAGGCGUAGGCUGGCGGGGUCCUGCCGGCAUCACUCUGUGGGCCGGCAGUGACGUCACCCUGGCGGUGUUAGCUCGCGACACCCCCACCACGCACGUGCUGCGCCUGGACCGACCCCUCAACGUGUAUACCUUGCAUCAGGUGCAGCUCGACAAGAUGGACUUCAUCCCCGGCGAGUGGCCAUCCGCAUUAGUACCUCUAUCAUUCACAUCCCCGGGCCUAACAUCGGGCCCAUUGCUUUGUACUGAAGAACAACGGUACGCGCUAGAAGGCGCCACUAUAGAGCUACCGUAUACCUGCCGGACCAAGAUACCGCAUACCGCCGUGCCUGUGUUGGAUGUUAUUAAUGGACAAAUGGGCUGCAAAAUAAUCCCCGCAGUCCCAAUCACGGAUGCUUCAGAAGUGGAACUUUGUGCCGAAUGGGGAGCAUACAGAGCCUGCACUAAAGUACUACUACUACCUCAAAUACGUCUUUCAACGCAUAAAGUGUCGUUGCUAAGUCCUCCCGCGACUUUCACUGUGAGCGGACACCCGCAAGCUCUGAAGUUGGUGAGGUUUAUCCCCUCGCCUGGACUGAAGUUGGAUACUAAUAAUGAUAGUGAUGAAAUAAUAGUGACAGUGACCAACGAAGCAUCAACCUGCGGCCACGGCUGGAUCUCGGUGAAGUCCAAGCUAACUGCGCAGGAGUUCCGCGUGGACGUACAGAGGGAGUGCGAUGUUGCUUGCGGCACGUUACUGGGCGCUCUGUUCUCGCUGCUCAAGCCGUAUUUGUCGACUGUCGUCACUGUAGUGGCAGCUAUUGCAGCUUAUAUAUACAUUACACAAAGGCUACAACGAAAAUCUCGCAUCAGGAUGCCAGUGGACCCCAACGAGACCGUCCUACCCACAGAACCGUCUCCUCGCAUCAAUCGUUCAAGAACCUGGUCCAGAAGUCCCUUCGCGUCCAGUGGCCCAACGGCCCCAGUCUACGGAGACGCUAGCAUGUUACCCGAACAAAGCUUCUCACCCAAUACCACGAGAAAUUCUUCUCUAUUCCUAUAGCGUUGGAGAAGAGCCAGCGAUGGGAGACGGAGUCUCGUUCAACGCAUGCAACGGUAUUGCAAGUCUUUUUGAAUUAGGAAUACGUGUGACCACCCUUAGUUGAGUCUGAAGUUGGGUGUUCUUUUUUUAAAAUUAUUUACAUCAAGUCUAAGGCUGACCAUCCACGUAUUUUUUUUUUGUAGGACAGAUAAAUCAGGCCAAUUUUUUGUAGGACUAUCUGACUUUUUGUAGGACGUGAGCGCUGCACUAUUACUAUUAGUGUUUCGUGUAUUAUUUUUUCUUUCUACCAAAAAUAAAUCUGCAAAAAAGACUAACAGCCAGUUUCUUCAUCACAAGUAUUAAAAAUUAUAAUAUAAAAAUUAAAAGUAACGGUUAAAUUCGUUUUUUCAAGGCUAAAGUACCAGCAAAACUGAUAGAAAAAACGAAUUUGACCGUUACUUUUACUUUAUGACAUUCCUUUGGCUUUUACUUUUGAUGAAGAAAUUGGCUGUUAGUACUCAGCAGCUAACUUCAGACUUGCAGUAGUCUAUAUUUUAAUUCAUAAAGAUUAUGUGUGACAGAAUGUUGUCUAACUCAAGUCUAUGGCAACAUUGUUAUAAAAAAAGUCGCGUUUUAUUUGUCGACUCGUAAAACUUUGAACUGGCAACUCAACGAGGUAAUGGUUCCGCCGUAUCGGUGUAUUGUAACGUUAAAUAGUUGUUAAAUUGAUGAAAGACGAAAGAAUGGUUGUGACGAACGAGUGUGCGUAGUAACCAAAAAAAGCUCUGAUUCUACAAAGCAGAGGCGAGAAGAUUGGAGCGGAGAUGGUUAUAAACAACCAAUUGAAUUAUUCUCUAUUAGAGGUCUCUGCACACAGCGGGCGCGGCGCGGCGGGACGGGACGGCGGCGCGACACUGAGCAGUUGUAAUGUACUAGAUAUUUCGGAGGCAGCCACAAAGAGCCGUCCCGCUCGACGCGACGUGACGCGACGAUCUAGUACAUUGUGUCGCGUCGCCGUCCCGUCCCGCCGCGCCGCGCCCGCUGUGUGCAGAGACCUUUAAACAUCUCGGCUCCGCCUUCUCAGUGGUAUCCACUGAACGUAGAUAUUUUACCUUCUCGUCCCCACUAUAGUGAACUACGGGUCUAUAACUAAUCUUUGAUAUGAAUGGUUUUUUUACACAGAAUCGAACGCGGUUGUAAAAACUAUGUUGUUUUUGGUAGUAUAUAUUAUAUAUAUACAUUAUAUAUUAUAUUAGUAUAUAUUAUAUAUAUACAUUAUAUAUUAUAUUAGUAUAUAUUAUAUAUAUAUAUAUUAUAUAUAUAUAUACGUAUAUAUUUAAUCUUGACUGUAGUUUAAACCUUAUCUACUAAUAUAUAAUUAAUUCCUAACUCAUCGUAUUGGUACGCAUUUUUCUUUCAUAGAUAAUUAAAAUUUCGUUGACAUUGAAAAUACAAACAAACUACAUAAAAAUGUCCUCAGUCAGCGUUAUAUAAUACAGCUGCUAAUAUCAGAAACAGGAAUGCCACUGCCACAUAAGCAUUUUUAUUGUAUAAUGUUAAUACAUAGUUGUAAUGAAAACACUUAUGAAUGACUUAUGCUAAAACAGAAUGACCCGCCAAUUUGGAAAUACAUACUAUAACUAGCGAUAAGUACUUACAUAGUCUAGCCUUUUUGAACAUAUAGUUAUUUCUCCUAUUGACAUUAUAAGCUACAUAAACAUUAAUUAAAAUAUAGUAUAAUCUUACAGUCUACCCAAUCCAUAGACCGGUGCACCAUAUUUAAUAUUAUUGUUCCGAAGUACUCCAAACGUAACUUAUUUGAAAAGUCAAUUUACUCAAGUGUGGCAGUGAUAGAAUGAUGCUUCCGCAGUCUUUAAAAUCCAGCCGUCACUUGUGCUCUUAAAAACAUGAUUUCGAUAUUGAUUUGUACAUUUAUACCAUUAUCUCAAUCCAUAGCUACAGCUGUAAACAUGAAAGUAUUGACGACAGACAGUCCACCCUCACCCCUUCAUUAAUUAGCGAAAUAACGAGGGUCCAGUCACUGUAUAUUGUAUGUAUGUUAUGGACUUAUGUGUAGCGUCCAAACCAGACGUCCUUUGACAUUCACGAGUUUGACUGACGAUCGAAUUGAUUAAUAUUAAUGUACCUUCAUAAUACACCACUAAAUAAUUAUUGAUAACGAAAAUAUAUUUGAAGUAUGUAUUCGUAAAUUUAUACAAUAUUUGAUAUUAAUACAAGUCUGCUAUGCUGAAUAAGGAUUCUUUCGUAGCAUUUAUUAUUUCCGUUAAUCAUUAUGCAGACGCACAGCGUCUAGUACAGAUAUGUGAUCAGUUUAUUUCGUCUCCCUAAGGAUCCCUGGUAUCUAAAGGUGUCAGCAUAUUUGAACUAAGGCUAUAUAGAAACACAUGUUAAGUUAGACUACAUAAAAAUCCAACAGGCUUCCUACAGUUCGUGCCAAACUUUCAACUUUAUGUAUUCUUCUGUACUUAUAUAAUAAAGAAGAAACAUUUUGGUUUGUUUGUAAAGGCUUUGAAACUAGAAAUGAUUUGACUGAUGGCUUCAAAUACAGCUACCUAACAGUGAAAGAAUUUCCCCGAGUGACAUAGGCUAUAUUUUAUCCAUGUACGACAAGAAGGUCCUUCGGGGCGCGGCCAAUAGUUUUAUCAAGUUAAUUCCAGAAAUAGUAUUAAAACGGAAGGAUUUUUAGGGAUUCAAAUAAAAAAAUCGAAAUAGGUAUUAUAUUUUCUUUAAUUGCUGUCGUUGUGUUGUUAACAAACGACUAAAAGAACUAACAACCCAAUUGAUGUCUUGAAAGACGGACAUAUAGACACAUACCCUUUUCGAUUUAUAAUAUUAAGUAUCGACUAUGCAUGGGUGUACGUAAAUCGCCUUAAAAAAGUUUGACCUUGAUAGAUUUUUCAAAAUUAUUGACUAAAGAUUAUUUUCAAACGGAUACCAAAGUAUCAUGAUUCUUUUUAUAACAAAAUCGGUUAUUGAAUUGUUUUAGUUUAUAGUUGGUUAUAGGAUCAUUGUUUUGCUUCGCUUUUUAGGGUUGUAAGAUAUUUUGUUUAUAGUUAGGCAGUUGGUAUAAAAUAAUAAAUAAUUGACGCUCAAAUGAGUUCAAACUAUAAACUCCAGCAAGAAGUUCAAAUAAAAAGUAUGAUCGCAUUGCACCUACUUACAGUUUGCGCUGAUUAACUUUCCAUUUUCUGAGAUCAGUCCCCUUAAUUCUUGCGCAUUGUUCGGUUCCAUUAAGACUGCCUGUCCACAGGAGCGGAGCUAGGCUGCGGAGUGGAGAAACUGAGAAAUAUUAACCAAUAGGUUUGCACAAAAUCUCCGCUCCUCAAUCCUACUGGUUAAUAUUUCUCAGUUUCUCCACUCCGCAGCCUAGCUACGCUCCAGUGGACAGGCAGCCUUAUUGUCAAGAAACCAACUUCACGAACGCAAAGUUAAUUGGCGCGAAAUGUACUCUAAUUGAAUAAUAUUAAGUGUAAUAGAAAUGUAAAUACAAUUUUGUAAAUAAGAUCUCAAAGGACUAGAAUAGUUUCUAUUAUUGUAUUCGCAUUUCAAUGCAAUUAACUUGUGACGUAUUGUAAAUACAAACACAUUUUUUUACUUAUUUAAUAUGUUAUUAAAGUCUAAGUCAUUUUUUUAUUGUGAAGUCAAUGUUUGAGAGGAAAAUGUUAAAAAGAUGUGUUUGUAGCCUGUACUUGGUAUGGGGCUCGAAACUUGUGAUGUGUGAAAUAAACUAUUUUUAUAAAUGAA
rnacentral:misc_RNA from 1 species